GAUGAACGCUGGCGGCGUGCCUAAUACAUGCAAGUCGAGCGAACAGACGAGGAGCUUGCUCCUCUGACGUUAGCGGCGGACGGGUGAGUAACACGUGGAUAACCUACCUAUAAGACUGGGAUAACUUCGGGAAACCGGAGCUAAUACCGGAUAACAUGUUGAACCGCAUGGUUCAACAGUGAAAGACGGUCUUGCUGUCACUUAUAGAUGGAUCCGCGCCGCAUUAGCUAGUUGGUAAGGUAACGGCUUACCAAGGCAACGAUGCGUAGCCGACCUGAGAGGGUGAUCGGCCACACUGGAACUGAGACACGGUCCAGACUCCUACGGGAGGCAGCAGUAGGAAAUCUUCCGCAAUGGGCGAAAGCCUGACGGAGCAACGCCGCGUGAGUGAAGAAGGUCUUCGGAUCGUAAAACUCUGUUAUUAGGGAAGAACAAAUGUGUAAGUAACUAUGCACAUCUUGACGGUACCUAAUCAGAAAGCCACGGCUAACUACGUG
rnacentral:rRNA from 1 species